AGCUUCGGCACAACCCGAAAAAGAAUA
rnacentral:tRNA from 3 species